rnacentral:rRNA from 1 species
AUGGAAGUGGCAUUAGCUACUGCUACCUUAAGCGUAAGCUUAAAAUUGGCUGCAUCGCCGGCCUUAAAGAAGCUCCUUUCUAAUGCUUCAACAUACCUUGGAGUGGAUAUGGCGCGUGAGCUCCAUGAACUGGAGACCACUAUCUUGCCACAGUUCGAGCUGUUGAUUGAAGCAGCAGAUAAGGGAAACCAAAGGCUCAAGUUGGACAAAUGGCUUCAGGAACUCAAAGAAGGCUUCUACCUGGCUGAAGACUUGCUGGACGAGCAUGAGUAUAACCUCCUCAAGCGCCAAGCUAAGGGGAAGGAUUCCUUGCCGGCCAAUGCCUCCUCCAUCAGCAACACUUUAAUGAAGCCUUUGCGUGCUGCAUCAAGCAGGCUGUCCAAUCUGAGCUCUGAGAACAGAAAGUUAAUUCAACAUCUGAAUGAACUGAAGACCACCCUGGCAAAAGCCAAGGACUUCCGUCAACUACUUUGCUUACUAGCUAGUUAUAAUGCAGCAAGCCCCACCAAAACAUCAGAUGUUGUUCCUGAGACCACAUCACUUCCACCUUUAAAAGUAAUUGGUCGUGAUAAUGAUCGCGAUUGUAUAAUAAAUCUUCUUACCAAGACAACUACUAUUACUACUGAGUCUAGUGUUUCUAUGUACUCGGAUUUGGCCAUUGUUGGAGCUGGAGGCAUGGGAAAGUCCACCUUGGCACAGCUUGUUUACAAUGACAAGAGGGUAAAAGAAUAUUUUGAUGUGACAAUGUGGGUAAGCAUCUCACGCAAACUUGAUGUUCGCCGUCAUACACGAGAGAUCAUUGAGUCGGCCUCUCGGGGGGAAUGCCCACGCAUUGAUAGUCUUGAUACUCUGCAGCGCAAAUUGACAGACAUACUGCAAGAAUCAGGGAAAUUCCUACUUGUGUUGGAUGAUGUUUGGUUUGAACCUGGCAAUCAGAGGGAAUGGGACCUAUUCUUAGCUCCUCUAGUUUCCCAGCAGACGGGAAGCAAAGUUUUGGUAACCUCUUGA